rnacentral:rRNA from 1 species
CAGUCGAGGGGUAUAGUAGCAAUACUGGAGACCGGCGCACGGGUGCGUAACGCGUAUGCAAUCUACCUUUCGCAGAGGGAUAGCCCAGAGAAAUUUGGAUUAAUACCUCAUAGUAUAGCAGUUUCGCAUGAAACCACUAUUAAAGUCACAACGGUGAAAGAUGAGCAUGCGUCCCAUUAGCUAGAUGGUAAGGUAACGGCUUACCAUGGCAACGAUGGGUAGGGGUCCUGAGAGGGAGAUCCCCCACACUGGUACUGAGACACGGACCAGACUCCUACGGGAGGCAGCAGUGAGGAAUAUUGGACAAUGGGCGCAAGCCUGAUCCAGCCAUGCCGCGUGCAGGAUGACGGUCCUAUGGAUUGUAAACUGCUUUUGUACAGGAAGAAACACUCCCUCGUGAGGGAGCUUGACGGUACUGUAAGAAUAAGGAUCGGCUAACUCCGUGCCAGCAGCCGCGGUAAUACGGAGGAUCCAAGCGUUAUCCGGAAUCAUUGGGUUUAAAGGGUCCGUAGGCGGUUUAGUAAGUCAGUGGUGAAAGCCCAUCGCUCAACGGUGGAACGGCCAUUGAUACUGCUAAACUUGAAUUAUUAGGAAGUAACUAGAAUAUGUAGUGUAGCGGUGAAAUGCUUAGAGAUUACAUGGAAUACCAAUUGCGAAGGCAGGUUACUACUAAUGGAUUGACGCUGAUGGACGAAAGCGUGGGUAGCGAACAGGAUUAGAUACCCUGGUAGUCCACGCCGUAAACGAUGGAUACUAGCUGUUGGGCGCAAGUUCAG